rnacentral:rRNA from 1 species
CGAGCGGUAGAAGUCCUUCGGGACUUUGAGAGCGGCGUACGGGUGCGUAACACGUGUGCAACCUGCCUUUAUCUGGGGGAUAGCCUUUCGAAAGGAAGAUUAAUACCCCAUAAUAUAGUGACUGGCAUCAGUUACUAUUGAAAACUCCGGUGGAUAGAGAUGGGCACGCGCAAGAUUAGAUAGUUGGUGAGGUAACGGCUCACCAAGUCUGUGAUCUUUAGGGGGCCUGAGAGGGUGAUCCCCCACACUGGUACUGAGACACGGACCAGACUCCUACGGGAGGCAGCAGUGAGGAAUAUUGGACAAUGGGUGAGAGCCUGAUCCAGCCAUCCCGCGUGAAGGACGACGGCCCUAUGGGUUGUAAACUUCUUUUGUACAGGGAUAAACCCAGAUACGUGUAUCUGGCUGAAGGUACUGUACGAAUAAGCACCGGCUAACUCCGUGCCAGCAGCCGCGGUAAUACGGAGGGUGCAAGCGUUAUCCGGAUUUAUUGGGUUUAAAGGGUCCGUAGGCGGGCCCGUAAGUCAGUGGUGAAAUCUCGCAGCUUAACUGUGAAACUGCCAUUGAUACUGCGGGUCUUGAGUAAAUUUGAAGUGGCUGGAAUAAGUAGUGUAGCGGUGAAAUGCAUAGAUAUUACUUAGAACACCAAUUGCGAAGGCAGGUCACUAAGAUUUAACUGACGCUGAUGGACGAAAGCGUGGGGAGCGAACAGGAUUAGAUACCCUGGUAGUCCACGCCGUAAACGAUGCUAACUCGUUUUUGGAUUUUCGGAUUCAGAGACCAAGCGAAAGUGAUAAGUUAGCCACCUGGGGAGUACGAUCGCAAGAUUGAAACUCAAAGGAAUUGACGGGGGCCCGCACAAGCGGUGGAUUAUGUGGUUUAAUUCGAUGAUACGCGAGGAACCUUACCAAGACUUAAAUGGGAAUUGACAGAUCUGGAAACAGAUUCUCCUUCGGGCAAUUUUCAAGGUGCUGCAUGGUUGUCGUCAGCUCGUGCCGUGAGGUGUUAGGUUAAGUCCUGCAACGAGCGCAA